UAAUACGUAGGGGGCAAGCGUUGUCCGGAUUUACUGGGUGUAAAGGGUGCUCAGGUGGUUUUGUAAGUCAGAGGUGAAAUUUCGGGGCUCAACCCCGGACCUGCCUUUGAUACUGCAAAGCUUGUGUACGGAAGAGGUUGAUGGAAUUUCUGGUGUAGCAGUGAAAUGCGUAGAUAUCAGAAAGAACACCAGUGGCGAAGGCGGUCAACUGGUCCGGUACAGACACUAAAGCACGAAAGCAUGGGGAGCAAACAGGAUUAGAUACCCUGGUAGUCCAUGCCCUAAACGAUGAAUACUAGACGUUGGGUGUUAAAACUCAGUGUCGCAGCUAACGCAUUAAGUAUUCCACCUGGGGAGUACGAUCGCAAGGUUG
rnacentral:rRNA from 1 species